UUAGUCCUGCGAUGUUCGAUAACUGCGAUAACGUUUUGGGCCACACUUAUAAAAAGGGAUUGCGCGUUCGACGACGGGUGUUAUGCCUUGCCUGACGGCACAGAGGAAAACCGAAACUCGUCGGUAGCAAGUACCCACCCUGCUUUAUCGCAGGUUCAAAAACCUAUCGCAAACGGCAUAGGCGGGACGAAU
rnacentral:other from 1 species